rnacentral:lncRNA from 10 species
AGAAAGAACGCAGCCCUACUGACACCUUGGUUUUGGCCUGGUGAGACCAACUUUGGACUUUUCACUUCCAAAACUGUUUAAAGAAAAAAGUCUACAGUUCCAGUUAGUCUACUUUUGUAACAGGACCUGACAACUCCACUCUACUUCCAAUCCUGAAAGACUACAGGAAAAACUAGCCCAAGUGACUGAGCUGGGGGGUCCCAGUCAUCGGUAGCAUGGGUAUUUUGCUUUGGAAUAUUAUCAAAUAGCAGGGGGACCAGCACAGUGGACUUAGUGUCAAGUCUAGGAUUUGAUUCUUAGCUAACAAAACAAGUUUCCUCUCUGAGUUGUGACGAUUAAAUGCAAUAAAAUGGAAAAGUGCCCAGCAGUGAUGGGCUUUCAGGA